rnacentral:tRNA from 1 species
GCGCGUCGCGGCGCGCGGCGCGGUCGCGGUCUCGGUGCGAUGUGUCGUUGCCUUGCGUGACCGGCGCGUUCGAACCGCGCCGACGCGCGCC